UACGUAGGGAGCAAGCGUUGUCCGGAAUCAUUGGGCGUAAAGCGCGCGUAGGUGGCCACAUAAGUCCGUUGUGAAAGUCAAAGGCUCAACCUUUGAAAGCCGAUGGAUACUGUGUGGCUAGAGUACGGAAGAGGCGAGUGGAAUUCCUGGUGUAGCGGUGGAAUGCGCAGAUAUCAGGAGGAACACCAAUAGCGAAGGCAGCUCGCUUGGACAUUACUGACACUGAGGCGCGAAAGCGUGGGGAGCGAACAGG
rnacentral:rRNA from 1 species